UACGUAGGGGGCAAGCGUUGUCCGGAAUCACUGGGCGUAAAGGGCGCGUAGGUGGCCUGGUAAGUCUGUGGUGAAAGCCCGGAGCUCAACUCCGGGUCUGCCGCGGAUACUGCGAGGCUUGAGUGCUGUAGAGGGGGGUAGAAUGCCGGGUGUAGCGGUGGAAUGCGUAGAUAUCGGGAGGGACACCUGUGGCGAAAGCGGCUCACUGGACCGCAACUGACGCUGAGGCGCGAAAGCUAGGGGAGCAAACAGG
rnacentral:rRNA from 1 species